rnacentral:rRNA from 1 species
CAAUAGCGUAUAUUAAAGUUGUUGCGGUCAAAAAGCUCGUAGUUGGAUUUCUACCGAAGAUAGCCGGUCGGGUCUUCGACCUUGUAUCUGGUUUUGUCUUUGGUAUCCUCAUAGGGAACGUUUCUGCGCUUUAUUGCGUGGUGCGGUAUCUAUGACUUUUACUUUGAGGAAAUUAGAGUGUUCACGGCAGGCAAACGCCUUGAAUAUAUUAGCAUGGAAUAAUAACAUAGGAUCUUCGUCCUAUUUUGUUGGUUUCUAGGGCUAAGAUAAUGAUUAAUAGGGAUAAUUGGGGGCAUCUGUAUCAACGCGUCAGAGGUGGAAUUCUUGGAUUGCGUUGCGACAAACUACUGCGAAAGCAUUUGCCAAGGAUGUUUUCAUUGAC